CCAAUAGCGUAUAUUAAAGUUGUUGUGGUUAAAAAGCUCGUAGUUGAACCUUGGGCCUGGCUGGCCGGUCCGCCUCACCGCGUGUACUGGUCCGGCCGGGCCUUUCCCUCUGUGGAACCUCAUGCCCUUCACUGGGUGUGACGGGGAAGCAGGACUUUUACUGUGAAAAAAUUAGAGUGCUCCAAGCAGGCCUAUGCUCGAAUACAUUAGCAUGGAAUAAUAAAAUAGGACGUGCGGUUCUAUUUUGUUGGUUUCUAGGACCGCCGUAAUGAUUAAUAGGGACAGUCGGGGGCAUCAGUAUUCAAUUGUCAGAGGUGAAAUUCUUGGAUUUAUUGAAGACUAACUACUGCGAAAGCAUUUGCCAAGGAUGUUUUCAUUAAUCAGGAACGAAAGUUAGGGGAUCGAAGACGAUCAGAUACCGUCGUAGUCUUAACUAUAAACUAUGCCGACUAGGGAUGGGUGGAAGUUGCAUUUUCGACUUCAUCCGCACCUUCUG
rnacentral:misc_RNA from 1 species